rnacentral:rRNA from 1 species
AACGGGUGAGGAACACGUGAGGAAUCUGCCCAUCAUUUGGGAUAACACCGGGAAACCGGUGCUAAUACCGAAUACUCCGUCUUGGCGGCAUCGCUAAGCCGGGAAAGAAUUUCGAUGAUGGAUGAUCUCGCGGCCUAUCAGCUAGUUGGUGAGGUAACGGCUCACCAAGGCAACGACGGGUAGCCGGCCUGAGAGGGCGACGGGCCACACUGGGACUGAGACACGGCCCAGACUCCUACGGGAGGCAGCAGUAGGGAAUAUUGGGCAAUGGGCGCAAGCCUGACCCAGCGACGCCGCGUGAGGGAUGAAGGUCUUCGGAUUGUAAACCUCUUUCAGUAGGGAAGAAGCGACAGUGACGGUACCUAAAGAAGAAGCACCGGCUAACUAUGUGCCCACCCCGCGGUAAUACAUAGGGUGCAGGCGUUGUCCGGAAUUAUUGGGCGUAAGAGCUUCGUAGUUCGUUAAUCACGUCGGAUGUGAAAAUCUGAGGCUCAACCCAGACCGCAUUCGAUACGGGUUAACUAGAGUGUGGUAGGGGAGACUGGAAUUCCUGGUGUAGCGGUGGAAUGCGCAGAUAUCAGGAGGAACACCUACGGCGAAGGCAGGUCUCUGGGCCAUUACUGACACUGAGGAGCGAAAGUUCGGGGAGCGAACAGGAUUAGAUACCCUGGUAGUCCGAACCGUAAACGGUGGACGCUAGUUGUGGGAACCUUCCACGGUUUCCGCGACGCAGCUAACGCAUUAAGCGUCCCGCCUGGGGAGUACGAUCGCAAGAUUAAAACUCAAAGGAAUUGACGGGGCCCCGCACAAGCAGCGGAGCAUGCGGCUUAAUUCGACGCAACGCGAAGAACCUUACCAAGGCUUGACAUAUAGAGAAAAGUGGCAGAGAUGUCGUGUCCGCAAGGGCUCUAUACAGGUGGUGCAUGGUUGUCGUCAGCUCGUGUCGUGAGAUGUUGGGUUAAGUCCCGCAACGAGCGCAACCCUCGUUCUGUGUUACCAGCAUUUAGUUGGGGACUCACAGGAGACUGCCGGGGUCAACUCGGAGGAAGGUGGGGAUGACGUCAAAUCAUCAUGCCCCUUAUGUCUUGGGCUGCACGCAUGCUACAAUGGCUGGUACAAAGUGCUGCAAUACCGCAAGGUUGAGCGAAUCACAUAAAGCCAGUCUCAGUUCGGAUUGGGGUCUCAAC